GAUGCAAAGCUGACGAGAGGGAACCAACUGCUAAUAGUCAACAACAAUCUCAGAGAAAUGGGCAAGAAGGUCCGGCGGAGAAACAAAGAGACCAGAAAUCAUUUUCAAUUCUUCAAUUCUUGUUAAUUCUUUUGGCCCCCUAGCUAAGAUACGGGAUGUUUGUUCAAAUCUCUUACAGAUCCUCAGAUGAAUAGUGCAAUUUUGGUUUUUGGGAUGACAUUAAGAAGUCGGAAGAAGUUAAAAUAGAGUUUUGAUUCAAUAUGAUGCAGUUGCUUGUAAUAUUAUGUUGUUCUUCUGUCUUUGUCAAUCAGAAAACACAUCCAGGAAGAUGUAAUCCAAAAAAAAACCAAAUGAGUGUUUGGGAUUUAAGAUUUGAUACCUGGGUUCUGAGAUUGGAUCGAAGAAAACGAUUCAUCCCCAUAUUUUUUAAAUUUCUUUUAUCUUCUGUAAUAGAACAUGCAAAGAAGGAGAGUUCUUCAGUGACUGGGAGUCUCUGAGAGCCCUUGGUGACUAGUCAGUCUUUCUACACUAAAGUGAAAUGAAAGAUGCGGAAUGUGUCUCAAAAUGUUUCAAUACCACAUUGCCCAUUAUAUUUGCCUUUAUUAUCCAAAUCACCAAUGCUUAAUAAUGAUGGUGAUUACAUAUAUCAUAAUCAUUGACUCUGCUGCACAAGUGGAAAUGUGGAAUCAUCUUUUUCUCUCAAACUUCGCAAAUGUGGGAUUUGCUUGUAACAAUAUUUCUCAUUCGAGCGAUAUUUUAAUAUAAUAUUGUUACAUAAAAAAAAGUUUGAAUAUGAAUGUUUACACUGUCUAGUUAACUUGUCUACGUCUAGAACUACAAUAUUUGUCAUUAGCAAAGCAUAAACUUAAAACUAUUGUCAGUAGAGAAAUGUGAUCCGGCGAAGAAACAAAGAGACUGGAAAUGUCUGUCCUUGAACUGAAACUGGAUGGAAUCCCUAGACGACAUUCAAAGCGCCAUGAGGAAGUUUCUCUUUACAAUCUAUGUAUCGUCAGUUGCUCAUGCGUUUGUUCGCAAAAUUUGAUAUCAUUAAUAAAAAUGGCAGAGUUCUACACCCAUGGAUUUUUCUUAUCGAUACAUAAGCUUCUAUAAUGUUUUUAGGUGGUGGCGCUCGUUUGGUGUAGGUGGUGUUGAAUACCAAAAAUUUUCCAUCUGUGAGAUCCCACCGAAGCGCCUUCGGUUUGGGAGAUGAUGGCAAAUCCAAGCCAACAAGAAGACAACAAAGAUGAAGCAUGAGAAGAUGGUGGGAUCCAAGUUUUGGGUGCUGGUUUGAUUUUGGUUUGUCACGAUGAUUUUAAUGGUGAUGCGGUGCGGCAGUGAUGUGGUAUACAACUAGAGAUGUGAAAAAAGAAAGAAAAGAUGGUUGAGAAGGUGAAGAAAUAACUACACUAUUUCUCAAGAUGAAUGAAGAUAACUCACACUAUUUCAGAAACUGAACCAAAAUAGCCCACAUUGUUUCUAGAAGUACAACAAAAUAACUCACACUGUUUCUCAAACUAAACCAAAAUAAUCAACACUAUUUAUGGAACUGCAGCAAAAUAAUCAACGCUAUUUCUGAAACUAUAGCAAAAUAACUCACACUAUUUCUGAAACCACAGCAAAAUAAUCUACACUAUUUCUGGAAUUAAAUCAAAAUAACUCACACUAUUUCUGAAAUUACAGCAAAAUAACCUACACUAUUUCUGAAACUAAACCAAAAUAACUCACACUAUUUCUGAAACUAUAGGAAAAUAACUUACACUAUUUCUGAAACUGAACAAAAUAAACCAUACUAUUUCUUAAGCUGAACCAAAAUAACACACAUUAUUUUUGAAGCUAUAGCAACAUAGACUAAUUCCCUUCAUGUAUAAGUCUGCACAUAGACUAAUUUUAUUUUAUUAUAGACUAUUAAACUUUGAAGCCGACCCAACUUAAUGGAAAAAUGCUUUGUUGUUAUUGUGUAGACUAUUAAACUUUAACACUAAACUAAGAUGUAUAAUGAAAAAUUACCAAUCUUCCCUCCAAUGUAUAUUACAUGCAAGUAACGUGACUUAAAUUAAUGGAAAAAUGAAUAUAGUAGGUUCAAAUCUAAUAUUAGGGAUGUAAUUGGUAGAUUUUUAUAAUUCAAUGACUGAUUGUUCUGAAAAAAAUAGUUUAGAGACCUAAUUUUCACUCAGAUUAUAAUUCAAUGACUAAAUUGGCAGUUUACCCUUUAUUUUUUAUUUUAUGUAUAACUCAAUUGUUUGUAAUUGGACAAUUGGAAUGGUGUUUUAAUUUUUCACAAACAAUACUAUUUGCAUAAAUUUAUCUAACUAUAGAGAGGCGAAAGAGUUUGAAAUCGAGAAGUAAUAGGUUGAAGAGAAAUAUUCUAUCACGACAAUCUCCUACUUGCAAAAGGUUUUCUAAGUGUUGUUAACUUGUGUUAGGAAUAUCAAUUAUAUAUUUAUGAUUGUUGAAUUGGCCAACUGGGAUAUGACAUAAUUUGAAACGGACAAAUAAUAAGUAGACAAAAAGGUGUUUGAGAAAAAAUUGGUGAAGAGAGAUUAUAUUCACACACUCUAAAUUAUUUUCUCCACAUCCCUUUAAUUUUUUUUAAUAUUUUUCUAACAAGUGUUAAUGGUGUUUCAUAAAAAUAUUAAAAAAUUAAAAGGAUAUGAGAGAAGUAAUUUGAGGUGUGUAAGUAUAAUUUCUCUUCGUGAAUAACCAAACGGACAAAUAGUAAGUAGACAAAAAGAACUUUGAGAACAGAAGAUUUUGAGAAAAACCAACAACGAUGCAUGAAAGUUUUUUUCUAAUUUUUUUAAUUUUUAAUUUUUUUAAUUUUUAAAGAAAGUUAGGAUAGGCCCAAAUCAGUUUUGGACCAGAAUAGGAUUUCAUCUGGAUUUUCUUUGUGAGAAUUAUAGGAAUCAAUUAUCCGUUCAUUAUUCAUUCUACGAUCUGAAAUUAUUGUAAAUUUUUUUAUUUAAAUUAAAUACAAAUAAUACCUACCAAAAGUUAGCCGCAUAAUGUACAAUAAACGACUAAAAUAAAUUAAUCUUCACAAAAAGAAUCUGGAAAGCAUCCUCAUCCGCAUCCUUCUGGACCCUUGGUGCCUCCUCCAAUGUUUCGAGUAUUUUUAGUCUCUUUCUUACUCUGUCAGUCAUCAUGCACUAUAUUAUGCUAACUACCCUGCAGGCUAAAGGGCUAAUUUAUUCCAACUAAAUUUAAUUUUGAAAAAAUUAGUAUCCGAUUCUUAGUUACUAAUGUUCUUUGAUGAAACCUUAUUAGUUUUCAAAUUUUGAUCAAAGUCCCUAGCAUUAAUGCAAUAAUAAAUUUACAUAUCAGUUAUAUAAUUUUUAAAACAAAAACUAAUAAUUGAUUUAGGAUUUUAAUACUCACACCUUUAGUAAACUCCUAACUAAUUUUCAAUUCAAAACAUUUCCAAAAUAAAAAAAAAAUUAGAAUAAGUUUGUACUCCUUAAUUUUUUAUAAAAAGGUCUCCAAUUUUUUAAUCUUAUAUGUACCCAUUCUUAAAUAUAUCAAUUUGUUGUAGUAAAAUGUACCCUUUUUUCAUAUAUAAAAUCUAUUCAAUUUUUUCCUAACCAUUUUUAAACUUAUAUGAGUACAUUAUUUUUCCAUAAAUCCAUGUCAAGUUUAAUCAAAGAAAUUUACUAAUGUUAUGAAGCCAAAUAUCUAUUAUUUUUUGUGUGGUUUUGAAGAAUGUACCCAUAUUUUGGUACAAUAAUUUUUUUUGUUAAUUUUGAUGAAUGUACCCACGUUUAUAUACAUACAUACACACACACACACACACACACACAAAAUAUAUUGGAGAGUAUAAUUUAUAUUUUAAUAAUUUUAAUCCACAAAUUAUGGGUUUUAUUUAUUUAAAAUCUCAUUAUUACAAACAACUAUAAAUUUCAAUUUUUAAUUUAAAAAAUAUAAUAACCUACAUGAAAAUACAUUAUCACAUUAAUUUCAGGGACUUCGAUAAAAAAUUGAAAACCAACAAGGUUUCAGUAAAAGAAUAUUGAUAAUUAGGAACCGUAUCCAAAGUGAUCCUUUAAUUUUUUUUAACUAGCAUUGUCAUAGUGUUCUAAGAAACCAUACUUGGGUAGUUUCACAUGCCUUGUCAUCUUGUGGGUAUUUACAUUAUUAAUUAGCUUGAAUUUAACAAUAAUAUUGUGCUAACUCCCCUGCAAAUAUCCUCACGGGUGUACACUCCCCGCCGAUAUAUAAUAACCUUUUGUUGAAAAAGCUUUUGUUUGCCUUCCAUGCAACCCACGUUAGAAUUAGUAUAAGGACUUUAAUUAGUUAGGCUAAAUGGUAAAAUAUUAAGGGUAAAGUUAGGGAGACUAAAUUUUGUAAACUGAUGAUGUAGUUGUUAAUGUUUGGAUUAUUACGUCAAUUAGUUUACAAAUUUAGUUCAAAAUUUUAAUCUCCCUAACAGUACUCAAAUAUUAAAGGUAGUUCAAAGCCGCUUCAUUAUUAUUCUUUGUGUUUAGUGACAAACGUUAUAGUGUACUCGGAUCACAAGGCAGAAUGUAUCGUAAUAUAAAUAGAAAGAAUCGUGUCAAUAAUUAUCUUUCAUAGAGCGAUAUGUUUGUUUUCAAUACUCAAAAUGUUCAUUAGUAAAUGUCAAAUUGCGUUUAGGAUUCAUAUCAUAGGGAUUCGAUGUGAAGAACAAAGCGUUGAUUGUAAACUACCUGACGCACUCCUCCUUCCCCUUUAUCCGGGCUUGGGACCGGCAACAUAAGCUAAAUUUACACGUGUAGAGUUAAAUAUAAGAAAAUGUAUGUAGUAUUUGGAAUUAACGAAAAACUUAGCACAAACCAGAGCGCAGACCCUACUAUUGAGAUAUGGUUUAGUGGUGGUGGUGCUGUAAAUGUCAAAUUACAAAAUGAAAAUAUAUUAAAAUAAAGGAUGAAAAUAAGUAAUGUGAACAAUGAUCUAAUGUGUAUAUAUAUAUACACACACACCAAGAUGCAGAGAUAUAAGCUCCCACCAUCAACCAUACGAGGUAGGUAGUGGAGAAAGAAAACAUGAGAGGUUACCUUCUCUCCUUGUUUUUUUCUGGGCUCACUGAAAGACAUCAUUCAGUUAUGUGGUGCUGAUCCGACUGAUGGCUUCGUCGAUGUUCCGUUAACGGAAUAUAAUUCCGAAUUACAGAAACCGUAUGACGUACCACUGGAGGAGCGCUACAGUUUUGUCAAUGGUGUAAGGCGUUUGUGGGUCUAUGCUGAUGAUGACAAGCCCCAUGACCCUAAUAGCCAAACCCAGCCACGUACUGAAGUUCGCAUGAGGGUACGCCUCCUAACCUGCUAUAUAUGACUAGCCCCAUAAUCCUACUGAUAAAUGUUUAUGUUGGUAUAUGAUGGAUUUGAUUAGAUUGAUUUUUUUACUGAAUAUGUUGUUCAGAUCACAGUUUUAUGAAUAAGUCUCUUAUGUUGUCAGACAGUCUAAUAGAAUACCUUUGUCUUGUAUAUAUAUUAUAAAUACUCCUACAUUGUCAAAUGAUUUGACAAAAGAGAACAUUACUCUAUAUAUACCGUGAGCAAGAAUUACUUGUCAAAAUAUGAAUCUUAGUCAUUGAUCAUGUUAAAUUUUAUCAAAUGUUUGAUUUUACAUUUAGACAGUGAAUAUAAACUAUCGAUCAAGUUGACUUAUAUGGUCCAUAUAUAUAUAUAUAUAUAUAUAUAUAUAUAUAGUUUGCCAACAUAAAUCUAACAAGAAAAAAAUGCUUCCUUAUAAAUACUUAUACGGAUGCUUCCUUAUAAAUCCUUAUAUGGAUUUGUUUGUGCUUUUUUGCCAUGCGUUGUAUAUGUUUUAUGUGGAACGCUUCUAGAACGGGUAGUCCAGAUUCAUAUAUUGUCCGACGAAAAAGCAAUCAUUAGUUGGCGCUAACUAAGUUUUAUGCAGGGAUUUGACUACUCAUCUGGAAUAUGGCAAUUUGAAGGGUAUGGAUUUGUGCCAAAUGGAACCUCUGGUGCUACAGUAGCACAGAUCCAUGGAGCAGCUAAGGGUGCUACGACUAUAAUCCUAAGAAUCUAUAACGGCGACAUGAGGUAUUAUAGUCGAGAUUUGGUGGGUACAAAUCUUUACGAUAAGUGGUUCAGACUUAACAUAAUCCAUGACGUCGACGGAGGGAGCGUGACUAUUUUCAUUGACGGAGUCCAGAAAUUUCGGGUGAAGGAUCAAGGGCCAGGAGAUUUGUACUUCAAAUGUGGAGUUUAUGCUGCACCGGCUAACAUUACCUACUACAUGGAAUCACGUUGGAAAGACAUUGAAAUAUAUAAAAAGUACUGAUGACUACCGAGGCCAGUCUUGAGAUUUUAGAGACCUUGUGCAAGAUCCAAACGGGGCCCUUACAUGGCCUAAAAUUUUGGUUGCUAUAUUUUCUUUUAUACUUUUUAUUUUUUAUGUGUAAAAAUUGAUAUAACGCACAAGAAAAUAAAUAAAAAUGAAACAUGGUGUGUUGGGUUUGUGUAUCUAUCUGCAUCCCUUAUGUUUUUGGGUUCAAAACUCCUUGCUUUUUAAUAGAAAAAGCAUGGCACGGUGGAUAUGUACUUAUCAUAUCACCAUUCAAAUAUUAUAAUUAGAACUAUUCUUGCUCUUUAUUAUCAUCCAGAGUUCAUCUCAAGAAAAAUUUAUUUAUGUGUAAACAAAUCAUUGAUAUAUGGAUGACAAAAUGGUUUUCAAAUAAAAUGAAAAUUAGAUGACCAUCAAAUAGUGACUAGAAAAUAAAUGGUUAAAUGAUAUCGUAUAAGAAAAAAAAUGAGGCUUUUAAAGAUUAUAUCUUCAAACUUUUAAAAUUUUAAUUUAUUAUGACAUUCCUAAUUAUAGAUUUAUUAGCAAAAGUUAUCUUUUAUAAUGAAAGAAAAUAACUACAUAUAUUUAAAACAAGAAAACAACAGUGUAGCUAAAAAAGCCUAGAGAAGGUAAUCGUGCGGCACACUCUGUGGCAUCUGUUGCAUUCAAAAAUGAAGGGAAGUAUAUUUGGGCUUGUAUUGGUCCUCAAAUCUUGUUUAAUACUCGGAGGAUGUAAUUGUAUCCAUUUGUAUCUAACAAUAUCUAUCUACCUUUGAAGAAAAAAAAAACCCUCAAAACAUGCCCAAUAUGAAAUAAACACAGCUGAAAAAAAAAUUCAUAAUUAAAAAUAAAUGUAUCCAUUAGUAUUUAAUAAUACUUAUCUAGCUUUGGAGGAAGAAAAAAACCCCAAAAAAAUGCCCAAUAUGAAAUAAACACGGCUGAAAAAAAAUUCAUAAUUAAAAAUAUAGGUAACCACGGAAUCGAACGUGUGCACACCUAGAUAGCAAAAACAAUGCUUGCCAAAUCGGCUAUGACAACGUCGUUUGAUAUGCUCACGUUUAUAGUAUAUAUCUAGUAUAUUACAAAGGUUAUUAAAUUUAGGGGCCCCAAAAAAACGGGGGCCCUGUGCGGUCUCACUCCUCGCACCCCCUCAAGGCUGGCCCUGAUGACUACUGUUGAAGUGAACUAUUAUGCUAGCUAGCUAGCUUUAUAUAUAGAGAUGUUUCCAUGUCAAUGCAAUGCAAGCUUCCACAGCUUCAAAGUAUAACCAUGUAACUUAAGAUUGGUUGAUUGGGUGUCUACUCACAAGCGUUUUUGUUAAAAGUGUUUGUAGUAUAAACAUGUUAAAAUUUUCAUUCAAAUCCAAGUACUUGCUAAAAAAUGUUGUUGUAUAUGGUCAUAAGUACUUUUAGUUACAAAAAGCACUUCUAAUUCUCUAUCAGCAAUCCCAAAUGACCCUUAGUAUAUUAACUAAUUAUUUUUAGUUGAGUAAUUAUUAAAGUUACUGACGAAAUUUUUUUUAUUAAAGUUGUCUAAUUGAUAAUAUUAAGAGGAAAUUUACAUUUUUCUUUAUUUUUUUGGUAUUUGAUUAUGGAUUUUAGAGGAAAUUUUACAUUUUUUCGUUUUCUUCGCGUUAUUUUGGUAAACACAUGGAGAAAUUAGAAAGUGAAAUAUUUUUUUCAUCCGUAUUUUAGUAAACAACAUUAUACUUUUUCAUUUCUCAAAUGUCACCAUUGUUAGUGAAAUCUAGCUCGUUGCACCCUUAAGACUGACAACACUACAAAACUAACCCCUCGAAAAGAAUGAAAAUUACAGUUUGAUCCCCAAUUACAGUUUGAUCCUAAUUCGGCAAAUUCCCCAAUGCCUUCCCCAACUACUUUUCCCUUUUUGCCCUUAUUGCUGAGUGGUUUCGCUCCUCUCGUGUCUAUUUUCCUUUGACCUUGCUGCCCUUUCCCCUUUGCCCUUUGCCCUUUUUGCCCUUUUUGCCUUUUGGUGCGUCGUUUAGAGCCUCGGCCUUGUCGUAUCCUCCCUGUUCGCCCUCCUCCUGGUGCUGUCCAAUGGCGGUUGGCUUCUUCUUGACCUCUACGAUCUCGGUGAUUCGUUUGAAUUGCAGACGGAGAGGGGGACGGGCCUUGUCUGAAAUCUGUUUCAUCAUUCCGGCGUUUGGAUUGCUUUUGGCAGUAGUGAAAGAAGCGGUCCAUUGGUUGUCGUCGCGGAGUUCGAUCGCCAGUUUGACAUCCUCAGGCGUAUGCACGUAUGCAUCAGUCCAUAGCUUGAGAUUAGAAAUGUUUCGGUUGAGAUUUUCUUGCGAUUUAGCAAGAACCUGCUGGGAUCCUUGAACGGCGCGGAGAUCCGUCAGCGAUUGAAAUUUGCAGGCGCCACCGGACAUGAAGGCACUGAACGCCGCCAUCUGAAGAAGGAGAGAGUGUUAGUGUUAGGGUUAGGGUUAGAGAGUGUAGAGAGAGGGGAGAGAAGAGAGAAAAAAGAGAGAGGAGAGAGGAGAGAGAAGAGGAUACCUCUGCGCUGCGGUGGUUUUGAGAGCAGAGAGCAGAGAGAGAUGCGCUGCGGUAGUUUCUUGAGAGCAGAGAGCAGAGAGAGAUGCGCUGCGGUGGUUUCUUGAGAGAUAGACUGAAUUUUUGGAAUGAAUUGCACCGGGUGGCUGCUUUUAUAAGCGAAUUGGAGGGAAAUGGAGGGAAAAAGUGUGCAAUUUAUAGGUUUUCUGCGUGUGGUUUGUAUCAGGUUAUGGGCAAGGAUAAUGGGCGAUUCCACGUAAGUUUUCUAAAUAUGCCUCACAUAUAUAACGAGUGUUUUCUUAAAAUGCCACUGAGUAUGCCUAGCUCACACAUGAGUACAGCAGCAGCAAGUUGGUAACUUAUUUUUAUGAAACCGUGAGACCACACCAGAGUAAGCAGGCCGUAUGCCUUUAAUGAAAAUUUGCAUCUUAUGCACUCUUCCUACGCUGCGCAUCACUGAAAUGAUUCUAUGCUAAUGAUUCAUCAGACUCUUGGAGUGACACCAAACAAAGGAGUCUGCUAAUGAUGAUUUGGUUUGUUGAUUUACUAACAAUGAGGAUAUGUUUCCACAGCGUUAUGUGAAACUUGCUGCUGUAAAAGAGUGAAUUUCUGGUAGGCACGGGAUUGUAAGUGUUUGCCCAAUUAUAACACGCUUAUUUGUCUUCAUCAACUUAGUUUUCUCCCACUCCCUACUCACAUGUAUCAUCAUCCGCACAGAAUUCGCGGUAUACUUUUUUUCACUUCGUUGGUCAAAUUGCUCAAAUUCAAAGUGUAAAAAAAGCUGCAGAAUUCAGUGCUGAUCAUGCGCGCUAUGGCAUUCUUCAGUUUUAUCGCUUACUUCAAAGGCAAGUAUGGCUCUGAUGAUUCUGAUACAGCAAAAGUCCUGUAAAUGCAUUAGACGAGAGUGGAGUGGAUCCAUCUGGUUGAGGCUUUGAAUGCUUUUGAAGAUUUAGCUACUGGCCCCUCAAAGCCUUUGUAUAUUGAACUAUAACCUGCUAUAUAUAUGGCCGAGUUCGGGGCCAUAACUACCUUCAAUUCAUUACGAGCCAGUAAUCAAACCAACGAAUUUGUUGACGUCUCACUCGUGCAAGGGACUUGCUAUUCAUUGAUCACAGACGACAUUAAAUGACUUCGAAAAAGAUGAUUUAAACUACAAAAUCAUCAGCUCGUCCAGAAACUCAAUCCUUGAUGGUCAAAUGACAUAUCCCAAAACCAAUGUGGUUUAAAAUCUCAUCAAAGGCAUAACUGCGGAACUUAUUCUGAACAGGAUAAAUUGCGCAAAACAAAAUAUUAAGAGAGAAUUGGCCUUGGAGCCAUGAUAGAAGAGGGUGGAUGGAUCUAUUCCCCUAGCAAAAUGACUUGAGAAAGCCUACAGUUAAUACCAAAUUUGAAAGUAUACGCUGUCCUGAAGACUUGCCAUGCUUUAGAAUGUUGUGCUUCCCAAGUUCUAUAAGGCUUGUGAAAUGAACAACAUCCAGUCGAACGUAGGCAUUAAUAAGUAAGCCGAAACAAAUUAAGCGCAAGUGUCCACGAGGACCAUAACUUAAACUAAAAUAAACGUAACGAUCGAUCAUGACAACUGAGUCAGUCCACCACAGCAAGAUUUAAGUACUCUUUGUCACAGAUGGCGGAUUCCAGGGCAUGCUUGGGGCCAACUUCCCCCUCAGUAUCCAGGAACAACUUGAUGAAAUUGUCCGAGUAGCCGGUGAGGAUGGUCACCCCUGGUAUUCUUGAAGGAGGCUCGACACAGUUGCCGGCAGCGCCCUUGUUCCACAACUGCCAGAACACUAUGUGUGGCACCGCAUCCCCAUAACCUUUCUCCUCAAACUUUCUUUGUAUUGCCCGGUAAGUAGUUGGCCAGUGACCGUCGGCAUUAGAUAUCUCAAAGCCAUAAUGAGUGAAAACUAGCACCUUCUUGAUCAUUUGCUCCGGCUUCAAAUUGGCAUUCACAGCCUCUUGGAGGAUCAAAUCAAGCACCGUGUGGAAAGGACAAGUUUCGGUGUGGUCCAUGCCCCUCAGAAAGGCACACUGGGACUUGAGAUCAUUUCCACCUUGUAUCAGACGCAGAUCAGGAUAUCGAGCGAAAGGGACGACCUUUCCUUUCCAGGGCUGUUCACUCAGCUGAGACACCAGUAACCCAAAAGCCACCGACACAUCCUGACCUCGCAGACUCGUGGGCUUCGAGACGUUACAUACAGCCAAGCAAUUCUUCCACUUGCCUUUGUUGAACAAGUCCUCCACCAUUGCCUUCCAGUGAAGUUGAGCAACGUCCCCUACAUCGGGAUUGUCCACAUAGUGUAUCACCCUAUGCGGAAGCAGCAGCAGCGAAGUAGGUUCAUCAUCAAUCUUAAUCUCGCAGCGGCCGGCUUUCACGUCCUCCAGAUACUGUUUAAUCCUACACUUGCCGCCAAAAGUGUCAUAACAUGUCAUCCUCCUCACUGGCAGCAAAACCUCCUUGGUCAGCCGGCUUCGCGCUCUUGACGUGUAAUCGGCCUCCUCUUCAAUACUUUUUUUUUUCGGACGUACCUCUUCAAGACCUUGGUAUCCAUCUUGUCGCGGAAAAAGCUUCCUCGCAAUGCUUUCACACAGCUGCGUGGCAGCCCGGUAGCCAGCGUAUGGGAGACAUGCCGCAGCCCAGCUAAACUCGAUAUAAUUAUCAUCACCAUCCUCGUUCUCAUUCAUCCUCUUGUUCUUGCUCUUCAACUUUUCAAUAUCAGACUUUAGGUAGUUUGCGAAAAAACCAGAAACCCGGUCGUGUAAAAACUGAAAAUCAGGGUCGCGAUGGUACAUCUCGGCAGCCUUAUUGGCAAUGGCAAUGGUCUUGUCUCUGAUUCGACAAUGGACGUCAUCAGAAUUUGAGUGUUGGCUGCUGAUUAGUUGUAGAAGAACAAGGCGGUAGAUAAUCUCGACAAAUCGCGACCGGAGUUGCCGGCAAGGGGCUCGAUGUUGGAGGCUAAGGUUUUGGGGUGGUUGUGGUGGAGCCAUAGCAAGGCACUGUGGAACAAUUCAUAGUCGGUGGUUUGUCCGAGAUAACGAAUGAGCUUGAGGGUGGUGAGGGGACUGUGGAACCAGGCCAGCGGCAGAAGUUGAUGGUUUAGAUAUCUGUGAGAGGAGGCGGAGGCUUUCUGCCUGUAGGAGGAAUUCACCUCUACAGCCAACAGAAAACGCAACAGAUCAAUGCAGGGGUUAGUGUUAACACUCUCCAACUCCAACCCCGAUUCGGAUUCCAAUUCCGUUACAUCCUCCUCCUCCUCAAUAUUAAUCUCAUUUGAAGAGAAAUUUGAGCAUAAUUUCAGUGGCCUCUGUGGUGGAUAUUUACUGUUAGGAGGAGCAAAUACCAGUGCCAUUGAUCUCAAACUAGUAUUAUAAGGACGAAUUAUUGGGAGCUGAGAAAUAUUGUUAUCGAUAUUAUUCUUGUGUGCUUCUACCCUGAAGGGGGAGAGAAUUUUACCCAUAGCUUUCAUCAUGACGUCAGACUGCGACUGCAACUGCGGGAGACCAAGAACGAGGCGGAGAGGCGGCUGCUUAUCUUGGUUUAGGGCACCAAGAACAACUCCACUACGUCUUUAUUAGAAGAGAGGUAGGAACUCAGGACUCCAUUCGACUCCUUGUUUUUUGGGAUCCACUCAUCGAACUCUUAUUAGAAGAGUAAGACUGACACACAUGUACCAGAAGCAUAGAGAUACGAUGUGAUACACCAUGUGUUCCUAUAUAAACCUGCCCUUUGACUCAUUUUGAGGAGAUUUUUCAGUGUGACCGUCAAACGAUGUGAUACACCAUGUGUUCCUAUAUAAAUGGUGAGUUAUGCGUUUUAAAAGAUUAACAACUUAAAAAUUAAAUUUUUCACCACUUGCAUAAAAACACAUGGUGUAUCAUCUAUUUUCUUGUCACAACUAAAAAUUUCUCUUUGACGUGGGCUUAUCAAAGAAUCAGAUUUUGACAUCAUGUAAACAUUCGAUUAGAUCUCACUCUGAUAUUUAUCAAAUAUUAAUCCACAAGUCAUAUUUGAUAAUUCAUAAGAAAAACUAAUGAAAAAAGGAACUUUGAGUUUUAAUGAAAAAUCAUCAUAUAACUUUAUUUAAUAAUUAGUACAAAGUUGAAUAUUAAACAAGUCCAAUUAAAAUAGCCCACCCAAAAUAACAUAUUGAUUUCUCUGUUUUGACCCUGACGUUUUUGGGUUAUGUUUGUUUUGUUUUCCGUUAGUUUAGUCAUGUCGAAGAACUGAGUUAUAAAGGCCAAUCACUUCACUUUUGCAGAUUUUUUAAUUUAGGGUUUUGAAUUGAUUGCUUUCUGUUAUCCAGCUAGGGAUUUUUGGCCUUUAGGAACUUGAUCAAAUUAGGUUUUUUUUCCUUCUUGUUCCUGUUCAAAGAAUCAAGCAUAGAAGAAGAGGAGAUGGCGACAGAGGAUGCAAAGCUGACAAGAGGGAACCAACUGCUAAUAGUCAACGACAAUCUCAGAGAAAUGGGCAAGAAGGUCCGGCGAAGAAACAAAGAGACCAGAAAUCAUUUUCAAUUCUUCAAUUCUUGUUAAUUCUUUUGGCCCCCUAGCUAAGAUACGGGAUGUUCGUUCAAAUCUCUUACAGAUCCUCAGAUGAAGAGUGCAAUUUUGGUUUUUGGGAUGACAUUAAGAAGUCAGAAGAAGUUAAAAUAGAGUUUUGAUUCAAUAUGAUGCAGUUGCUUGUAAUAUUAUGUUGUUCUUCUAUCUUUGUCAAUCAGAAAACACAUACAGGAAGAUGUAAUCCAAAAAAAAAAACCAAAUGAGUGUUUGGGAUUUAAGAUUUGAUACCUGGGUUCUGAGAUUGGAUCGAAGAAAACGAUUCAUCCCCAUAUUUUUUAAAUUUCUUUUAUCUUCUGUAACAGAACAUGCAAAGAAUGAGAGUUCUUCAGUGACUGGGAGUCUCUGAGGGCCCUUGGUGACUAGUCAGUCUUUCUACACUAAAGUGAAAUGAAAGAUGCUGCCAAAUGUGUCUCAAAAUGUUUCAAUACCACAUUGCCCAUUAUAUUUGCCUUUAUUAUCCAAAUCACCAAUGCUUAAUAAUGAUGGUGAUUACAUAUAUCAUAAUCAUUGACUCUGCUGCACAAGUGGAAAUGUGGAAUCAUCUUUUUCUCUCAAACUUCGCAAAUGUGGGAUUUGCUUGUAACAAUAUUUCUCAUUCGAGCGAUAUUUUAAUAUAAUAUUGUUACAUAAAAAAAAGUUUGAAUAUGAAUGUUUACACUGUCUAGUUAACUUGUCUACGUCUAGAACUACAUUAUUUUGUCAUUAGCAAAGCAUAAACUUAAAACUAUUGUCAGUAGAGAAAUGUGAUCUGGCGAAGAAACAAAGAGACUGGAAAUGUCUGUCCUUGAACUGAAACUGGAUGGAAUCCCUAGACGACAUUCAAAGCGCCAUGAGGAAGUUUCUCUUUGCAAUCUAUGUAUCGUCAGUUGCUCAUGCGUUUGUUCGCAAAAUUUGAUAUCAUUAAUAAAAAUGGCAGAGUUCUACACCCAUGGAUUUUUCUUAUCGAUACAUAAGCUUAUAUAAUGUUUUUAGGUGGUGGCGCUCGUUUGGUGUAGGUGGUGUUGAAUACCAAAAAUUUUCCAUCUGUGAGAUCCCACCGAAGCGCCUUCGGUUUGGGAGAUGAUGGCAAAUCCAAGCCAACAAGAAGACAACAAAGAUGAAGCAUGAGAAGAUGGUGGGAUCCAAGUUUUGGGUGCUGGUUUGAUUUUGGUUUGUCACGAUGAUUUUAAUGGUGAUGCGGUGCGGCAGUGAUGUGGUCUACAACUAGAGAUGUGAAAAAAGAGAGAAAAAAUGGUUGAGAAGGUGAAGAAAUAACUACAAUAUUUCUCAAGAUGAAUGAAGAUAACUCACACUAUUUCAGAAACUGAACCAAAAUAGCCCACAUUGUUUCUAGAAGUACAACAAAAUAACUCACAUUGUUUCUCAAACUGAACCAAAAUAAUCAACACUAUUUAUGGAAUUGCAGCAAAAUAAUCAACGCUAUUUCUGAAACUAUAGCAAAAUAACUCACACUAUUUCUGAAACCACAGCAAAAUAAUCUACACUAUUUCUGGAACUAAAUCAAAAUAACUCACACUAUUUCUGAAAUUACAGCAAAAUAACCUACACUAUUUCUGAAACUAAACCAAAAUAACUCACACUAUUUCUGAAACUAUAGGAAAAUAACUUACACUAUUUCUGAAACUGAACAAAAAUAAACCAUACUAUUUCUUAAACUAAACCAAAAUAACACACAUUAUUUUUGAAGCUAUAGCAACAUAACCUACAUUAUUUUUGAAACAGAGCCAAAAUAACUCAUACUAUUUCUAGAACUACAGCAAAAUAGCCCACACUAUUUAUGAAAACUAAAUCAAAAUAAUCUACACUAUCUCUGGAAAGGAACAAAAUAAACAUUAUUUUUUGGAAUUACAGCAACAUAACCCACAUUAUUCUGAAUAAAUAAUGUUUAUUUAUUAGUCCAGUUUCAUAAAUAGUGUUUACUUAUUGGUCUAGUUUCAUAAACAGUGGCUAGUUCUGGGUCCAGUUUCAUGAAUAAUGCUUAGUUAUUGGUUCAAUUUCAUAAACAGUGUUUCUAUCUUAGUCUAGUUUCACAAAUAGUUUCCACCUAUUGGUUUAGUUUUAGAAAUAGUGUCUCAUUCUUGAUUGGGUUUCAUAAACAAUGUCUACUUAUUGGUCAAGUUUCAUAAAUAUUGUCUCCUUAUUAGUCCAAUUUCAUAAAUAGUGCAUAGAUCUUGUUCCACUUCCAUAAAUAGUGGCCUAGUUCUUGAUUCAGUUUCAUAAAUAGUGCCUAGUUCUUGGUCCACUUUCAUAAAUAGUAGUCUUGUUCUUAGUCCAGUUUCAUAAAUAGCUCCUACAGUUUUGAUGAGCCCCUGUUUGGCUGCGCGAAUAACUUUUUUGGCUUUAUCUCUAGCUAGAUAAGAGGUUAAAAUGUUCACAUAAGCUUUAAUAAUAAAAAAAGAUAACACUAAUAUUCUUCAACCGAAAUGUCAAAUCUUAUGUGGUGAUACAUGAAUUGGCAGAAGAGAAUUACUAUCAAAUUUGACAAUAGCUUCAAUUACUAUCAAAUCAGGGGAGUAUUACGUUUUAAUCAUUAUUUUUUAUGAUUAAUUUAUUAUUUUGAAUUGAUAUACAUGAUAUUGAUUCAAUUUAAUUUUUCUAUGUUAAACGUGAUACAACACAUUGGAGAUGCAAUUCCAGCUUUCCGAGAAGGAUCUUCUACACAUUCAAAGGCUCCUGUUGUUUUCUACCAAUCAGGUACGCUUAAAAUAAAGUAGGAUAUUUGAAACGACCUUGAAGCAUGAAAACAUUCCCCAUGAUGCAUGAACCCCCUAUGUUUAUAUUUUCCUUCCGAUAUAUAU
rnacentral:lncRNA from 1 species